AAUCAGUGACGGUAAGUGGUUUUAGAGAAAACAGCCCCGAGCACUGUUCCUUCUAAGAGGACUGUUACACCUUAAUAAAUUCUCUAGCUGUUUUUUGACUGUUUGCAGAUAACAGGAAACUCUUAUUCAAAAAUAUAUUAACCUCCCACCCCUACCCCCCAGCCAAUCAGCCCGGCAGCAUUUGAACUUGCUGGGGCACAUAGCCAAAGCAGCUUUUACUUGGUCUCAGCCAUUCCCCCCCCCCACACACACCUGUUCCUUCUCUGUAGGCUUCUGCUCGGGGUCAGGCAGCCUGGAACUGCAUUUGAAAUGAUUCUGAACAUAUAACAGGAAAGGAGUGUACACCCACCAAACAAGACCACGUAAGGAACACUGUGAUCGGUGCAUCUGUGCGGCUCACUCCGGAGUCCCAGCCCUCACCAGCUGCGUGGUGACAUCUCUUGGAAGGCAUUAUCUACCUUAACCCAUGGUUCUGAGAUGCUGGGCAGGGGGACUGCCUUUGCCAUCUGGAGAGCCGCUACCUGUCCUGCUCCUUCCGGUGGCCCGAGAGAGGGUGCGAUUUUAAAAAAUUCAUAUAUGCAGAGAAGAAAAAUUUGACCCAGAGGAAAGGCCAUGUGAGAAGGUCGUUGUCUGCAAGCCAAGGAGAGAGACCUCAGAAGAAACCAAACCUGCUGACACCGUGACUUUGGGCCACCAGCUUCCAGAACAUUCCCAGGCCAAGGAUCAGAUCUGAACCGAAGUUGCAACCGACACCACCGCUGCUGGACUGGGCCAGGAUUGAACCUGCAUCCAUCCUGGCGCUGCAGAGAUGCUGCCGAUCCUGUUGCACCAUGGCGAGAACUCCCCCAUGGAAAGUUUUUUAAGCAAAAAGGAAAUCUUUGGGGUCAGAUGACUGGGGUAGCUUCUAACAACUGCAGAGUGAUUCCAGGCACCAGGGCCUCACCUGCGAGGUCCUCGUACCACACUCUCUCGCUGAGGCCCUUGGCCUGGUUUGUGCAGAGAAAACGACCACUAAGAGAAUGCCAGAGUCUCUUUGCCCAAAAAAAGGACAUCUCCCAUCGCAGAUGCUCGCUUUGCAAUGUGACUUUGGCGUUCCUCACGGUGGGAGCCGGGGUCUAUGUUUUCUGCAUUUGAAUCUGGGUGGACCCGUGACUAUAGUGGAACUGGCCCUACAUGACUUCCAAGGCUGGGUCACGAAGGACGACACAGUUGCGGCCUGGUUUGCUGGCACAUUGCCUUUGGAGUCCUGAGCUGAGCUGCCCAGGCAGGAGCCCGAGGCUGCCAUGCUGUCCCAUGAAAGUGUUCUGACCUAGAGCCCCAGCUGAAGGCCCAUCGACCAGCCAGCAUCAACCACCUCAUAUGAGUGAAGCUGCCUCCACGGACUCUGGUCCCCUGCUAUUGAGUUCUCCCUGUAGAGGCCCCAGGUAUUGGGGAGCAGGGACACGUCCUCCCCAGUGCGCCCUGUCAGAAUUCCUGCCCUGCAGAAUCUGCGCGCAUGAUAAAAUGGUAGUUUUAGGCUCCGC
rnacentral:lncRNA from 1 species